rnacentral:rRNA from 1 species
GAUGAACGCUGGCGGCGUGCCUAAUACAUGCAAGUCGAGCGAACAGACGAGGAGCUUGCUCCUCUGACGUUAGCGGCGGACGGGUGAGUAACACGUGGAUAACCUACCUAUAAGACUGGUAUAACUUCGGGAAACCGGAGCUAAUACCGGAUAAUAUAUUGAACCGCAUGGUUCAUUAGUGAAAGACGGUUUUGCUGUCACUUAUAGAUGGAUCCGCGCCGCAUUAGCUAGUUGGUAAGGUAACGGCUUACCAAGGCGACGAUGCGUAGCCGACCUGAGAGGGUGAUCGGCCACACUGGAACUGAGACACGGUCCAGACUCCUACGGGAGGCAGCAGUAGGGAAUCUUCCGCAAUGGGCGAAAGCCUGACGGAGCAACGCCGCGUGAGUGAUGAAGGUCUUCGGAUCGUAAAACUCUGUUAUUAGGGAAGAACAAAUGUGUAAGUAACUAUGCACGUCUUGACGGUACCUAAUCAGAAAGCCACGGCUAACUACGUG